rnacentral:rRNA from 1 species
AUGGGGGAGAUGGUGAAGACGUGGGUUGGGGUUGGAACGCCGAGCGCUUCCAUCCAAGAAAGUUCUUAUCUCAGCGAACCGUGCCCCUGUCGCGCACGCAGGCUCAAGGCCGAGCUUGGCAGCGACAUCAGUAACCUCCAGGUCUCUCUCGAUGACCACGAGGAGCAUUCCAAGGGGAAUGUCAUGACCCUCUGCCCUGCCGAGGACGAGAGACGCUUCUACCAGGCCGUCUUCCAGAUGCGCCACUACGACCUUGUGUCAACUUCUACCUUCCCUUUGUCCUUGCUGAGGGCCGCGCCGUCAUCAUCAAGAACCGCCAGCGCCGCCUCUUCAUCAACUGCGGCGGAAUCCAUCAUCGACGACCUCAUAGUGUUCAAGGAGGGUAAGGAGUACUACACCAAGGUUAAUAAGGCAUGGAAGCGGGGGUUGCCCCCUGUACGGUUCGCCCGACACCGCCAAGACAAGAAGGCCUCUAGUAACAAUGACUCCCAUGACUAUGAACCUGACCCGACGGAUCCACCGAAGGACAAUGAAAGCAAGGGCGUCAAGGUGCUCACCAAGAACUACCUGGACUUCAUGGAGCAUGGGCUGUUUGGGGAGAUCCGACGGCUGCUCGAGGAGACCAACAUGUCACCCACCGAUGUGGCACCUCAAUACCUCAUGCCAAUGUCGACAAAGAAGAAGAGGGACCCCGAUUUGUGUUUAUCAGGCCUAAUUGAGGCGCUCAAGCAGGCCAAGGAAGACGUGGCAGCGGCAAAGGAGAAGGCAAAGGGAGAAGAGGAGGCAGAAGCGGAGAAAGCCAAGAAGAAAGGAGCAAAGGCGAAGAAAAAAAAGGAGAAAGACGACAGAAAGGGCCCAACACCAGAGGAAGCUAAAUGA